UGGGGAAUAUUGGACAAUGGGCGCAAGCCUGAUCCAGCCAUGCCGCGUGAGUGAUGAAGGCCCUAGGGUUGUAAAGCUCUUUCACCGGAGAAGAUAAUGACGGUAUCCGGAGAAGAAGCCCCGGCUAACUUCGUGCCAGCAGCCGCGGUAAUACGAAGGGGGCUAGCGUUGUUCGGAAUUACUGGGCGUAAAGCGCACGUAGGCGGACAUUUAAGUCAGGGGUGAAAUCCCAGAGCUCAACUCUGGAACUGCCUUUGAUACUGGGUGUCUUGAGUAUGGAAGAGGUGAGUGGAAUUCCGAGUGUAGAGGUGAAAUUCGUAGAUAUUCGGAAGAACACCAGUGGCGAAGGCGACAUACUGGCUCAUUACUGACGCUGAGGCGCGAAAGCGUGGGGAGCAAAC
rnacentral:rRNA from 1 species